AUACGGAGGGUGCAAGCGUUACUCGGAAUCACUGGGCGUAAAGCGCGCGCAGGCGGUCUUUUAAGUUGGAUGUGAAAGCCUACGGCUCAACCGUAGAACUGCAUCCAAAACUAUUAGACUAGAGUGUGGGAGAGGAAGAUGGAAUUAGUUGUGUAGGGGUAAAAUCCGUAGAGAUAACUAGGAAUACCAAAAGCGUAGGCAAUCUUCUGGAACACUACUGACGCUGAGGCGCGAAAGCGUGGGGAACAAACAGGAUUAGAUACCCCGGUAGUCC
rnacentral:rRNA from 1 species